UUGUGUUUUUUGUUGGUGCAUUCUCGGG
rnacentral:piRNA from 1 species